GUGGGGAAUCUUGCGCAAUGGGCGAAAGCCUGACGCAGCCAUGCCGCGUGAAUGAUGAAGGUCUUAGGAUUGUAAAAUUCUUUCACCGGGGACGAUAAUGACGGUACCCGGAGAAGAAGCCCCGGCUAACUUCGUGCCAGCAGCCGCGGUAAUACGAAGGGGGCUAGCGCUGCUCGGAAUUACUGGGCGUAAAGGGCGCGUAGGCGGAUCGUUAAGUCAGGGGUGAAAUCCCAGAGCUCAACUCUGGAACUGCCCUUGAUACUGGCGAUCUUGAGUGUGAGAGAGGUAUGUGGAACUCCGAGUGUAGAGGUGAAAUUCGUAGAUAUUCGGAAGAACACCAGUGGCGAAGGCGACAUACUGGCUCAUUACUGACGCUGAGGCGCGAAAGCGUGGGGAGCAAACAGGAUUAGAAACCCGUGUAGUCC
rnacentral:rRNA from 1 species